ensembl:lincRNA
GAGGGAUUAGAGGGAUAAAGUCACUGUCAGUCAGAAGAAACAAGAAUGUGGGCUGGACGUGCCACACUGGGGUCUUCUGAAAGUAGGCGCAGCAUCUGCAGCUCCUCAUACCCGGCCCAAAGGUUUUAUAAUAAUCAAGAAGCACAUGAAAAGGCCUCUUCAUCAAGCAUUCUUGACUAAGUUAUGAAAAUGGAAUUGAAGUUUAUUUUCCCCCUUCAUAUGGUAAGUCCAGCAGUGAGCAGAGUGUUCAGUUCUUCACUUCCAGCAAGCCAGGUCAGUGUCUUUGUGCAAACCAAUGACUAUAGAUUGGUGACAUCCUGUGUCUAAUUCUGAGCAUGCAUUUCAGAACAGGUUUCUUAAUCAUUUGUCUUUUUAAAAUGUUGUCUUUGACUUUCUUAUAUACUCAGUUAUGAAUGCCACAAGUUCAAUUAUUGUUAAAAUUAUUGCUUACUCUGUGAGUACAAUGGUACAAAUAUGGGCCUCAAACCGGUUUGUCCUUUAUACAACUUUUUAUUUU